AUUGAACGCUGGCGGCAUGCCUUACACAUGCAAGUCGAACGGCAGCAUGAUCUAGCUUGCUAGAUUGAUGGCGAGUGGCGAACGGGUGAGUAAUACAUCGGAACGUGCCCUGUAGUGGGGGAUAACUAGUCGAAAGAUUAGCUAAUACCGCAUACGACCUGAGGGUGAAAGUGGGGGACCGCAAGGCCUCAUGCUAUAGGAGCGGCCGAUGUCUGAUUAGCUAGUUGGUGGGGUAAAGGCCCACCAAGGCGACGAUCAGUAGCUGGUCUGAGAGGACGAUCAGCCACACUGGGACUGAGACACGGCCCAGACUCCUACGGGAGGCAGCAGUGGGGAAUUUUGGACAAUGGGCGAAAGCCUGAUCCAGCAAUGCCGCGUGUGUGAAGAAGGCCUUCGGGUUGUAAAGCACUUUUGUCCGGAAAGAAAUGGCUCUGGUUAAUACCUGGGGUCGAUGACGGUACCGGAAGAAUAAGGACCGGCUAACUACGUGCCAGCCGCCGCAGUAAUAC
rnacentral:rRNA from 1 species